rnacentral:misc_RNA from 1 species
CCGCUGCAGCAAUGCGAGGUGGGCCUGGCAUGCCGUGCCUGGCUCCAAAGACAGCAAUCGGAGCAUCCGCACCCAUGCGUCAAAUGUCCAUGGGGAGGGUGCGGCCGGUUGAGGGAGGGGAGGGGAGGUAAGGAUGGUGAGGUGGUGGUGGUGGGUGGGUGGGGUGAAUAGCUCUAACCAGCCAACCAACCCUAGCUGGCUGGUCUGGCCCUCUCCCCGUUAUUUAUAGCA